rnacentral:rRNA from 1 species
AAGUCUGAUGGAGCAAUACCACGUGAACGAUGAAGGUCUUCUGAUUGUAAAGUUCUUUUAUUUAGGAAAAAAAGCGCGCUAGGAAAUGAGCGCGCCUUGAUGGUACUAAUUGAAUAAGUGACAGCUAACUAUGUGCCAGCAGCUGCGGUAAAACAUAGGUCACAAGCAUUAUCCGGAUUUAUUGGGCGUAAAGGAAGCGUAGGCGGGGAGGCUGAUCCAUUGUUAAAGGCAUUUGCUCAACAAAUGUGUGCGAUGGAGAUCUCCUCCCUAGAGUUAAUC